rnacentral:rRNA from 1 species
AGACCCGAAACCCGGUGAUCUAGCCAUGGGCAGGUUGAAGGUUGGGUAACACUAACUGGAGGACCGAACCGACUAAUGUUGAAAAAUUAGCGGAUGACCUGUGGCUGGGGGUGAAAGGCCAAUCAAACCGGGAGAUAGCUGGUUCUCCCCGAAAGCUAUUUAGGUAGCGCCUCGUGAAUUCAUCUCCGGGGGUAGAGCACUGUUUCGGCUAGGGGGCCAUCCCGGCUUACCAACCCGAUGCAAACUGCGAAUACCGGAGAAUGUUAUCACGGGAGACACACGGCGGGUGCUAACGUCCGUCGUGAAGAGGGAAACAACCCAGACCGCCAGCUAAGGUCCCAAAGUCAUGGUUAAGUGGGAAACGAUGUGGGAAGGCCCAGACAGCCAGGAUGUUGGCUUAGAAGCAGCCAUCAUUUAAAGAAAGCGUAAUAGCUCACUGGUCGAGUCGGCCUGCGCGGAAGAUGUAACGGGGCUAAACCAUGCACCGAAGCUGCGGCAGCGACACUCAGGUGUUGUUGGGUAGGGGAGCGUUCUGUAAGCCUGUGAAGGUGGCCUGUGAGGGUUGCUGGAGGUAUCAGAAGUGCGAAUGCUGACAUAAGUAACGAUAAAGCGGGUGAAAAGCCCGCUCG